rnacentral:rRNA from 1 species
GUCUAUGGCCAUGCCACCCUGAACAAGCCUGAUCCCAUCUGAUCUCGGAAGCUAAGCAGGGGCAGGCCUGGUUAGUACUUCGAUGGGAGACCAUCUAGGAAGACCAGGUGCUAUAGGAG